ensembl:snRNA U6 U6 spliceosomal RNA
GUGCUUGCUUUGGCAGCAUACAUACUAAAAUUGGAAUGACAGAUUAUUAGCAUGGCCACUGAGCAUGGACGACGCACAAAUUUGUGAAGCAUUCCAUAUUUAA